AUUGAACGCUGGCGGCAGGCCUAACACAUGCAAGUAGAGCGAGAGGCGGACGGGUGAGUAAUGUAUGGGGACUGCCCGAAAGAGGGGGAUAACUCGGGGAACCGGUAGGUAAUACCGCAUACUAUCGGAUAACCCAGAUGGGAUUAGCUAGUAGGUGAGGGAAUGGCGCACCUAGGCGACGACCCCUAGCGGGUCUGAGAGGAUGAGCAGCCACACGGUGACUGAGACACGGCCCAGACUCCUACGGAGGCAGCAGUGGGGAAUAUUGCACAAUGGGCGCAAGCCUGAUGCAGCCAUGCCGCGUGUAUGAAGAAGGCCCUAGGGUUGUAAAGUCCUUUCAGUCGGGAGGCGUUACCGACAGAAGAAGCACCGGCUAACUCCGUGCCAGCAGCCGCGGUAAUUC
rnacentral:rRNA from 1 species